rnacentral:rRNA from 1 species
CCUACGGGAGGCAGCAGUGGGGAAUAUUGGACAAUGGGCGAAAGCCUGAUCCAGCAAUGCCGCGUGAGUGAUGAAGGCCUUAGGGUCGUAAAGCUCUUUUACCCGGGAUGAUAAUGACAGUACCGGGAGAAUAAGCCCCGGCUAACUCCGUGCCAGCAGCCGCGGUAAUACGGAGGGGGCUAGCGUUGUUCGGAAUUACUGGGCGUAAAGCGUGCGUAGGCGGUUAUUCAAGUCAGAGGUGAAAGCCCGGGGCUCAACCCCGGAACGGCCUUUGAAACUAGGUAGCUAGAAUCUUGGAGAGGUCAGUGGAAUUCCGAGUGUAGAGGUGAAAUUCGUAGAUAUUCGGAAGAACACCAGUGGCGAAGGCGACUGACUGGACAAGUAUUGACGCUGAGGCACGAAAGCGUGGGGAGCAAACAGGAUUAGAUACCCUGGUAGUCCACGCCGUAAACGAUGAUAACUAGCUGUUCGGGUACUUGGUAUCUGAGUGGCGCAGCUAACGCAUUAAGUUAUUCCGCCUGGGGAGUACGGUCGCGAAGAUUAAAACUCAAAGGAAUUGACGG